GUGAAAAACUUAAAACUCCAAGGACUUGGCGGUGCUCCACAUCGACCUAGAGGAGCCUGUCCUAUAAUCGAUACCCCCCGUUUUACCUUACCAUUUUUUGAAAUUCAGCCUAUAUACCGCCGUCGUCAGCCUACCUUGUGAGAGAAACAAAGUAGGCACAACAGUAACCACUAACACGUCAGGUCAAGGUGUAGCACAUAAAGUGGCAGAGAUGGGCUACAUUUUCUACCAUAGAAAACCACGAAUAACACGAUGAAACUCGUACUAGAAGGCGGAUUUAGCUGUAAGAUAAAUAAGCAAAUUUAUCUAAACCCCGCUCUGGAGCGCGC
rnacentral:rRNA from 1 species